AUACGGAGGGUGCAAGCGUUGUUCGGAAUUAUUGGGCGUAAAGAGCAUGUAGGCGGUUCGUUAAGUCUGAUGUGAAAGCCCGGGGCUCAACCCCGGAAGUGCAUUGGAUACUGGCGAACUUGAGUACGGGAGAGGAAAGUGGAAUUUCGAGUGUAGGGGUGAAAUCCGUAGAUAUUCGAAGGAACACCAGUGGCGAAGGCGGCUUUCUGGACCAAUACUGACGCUGAGAUGCGAAAGCGUGGGGAGCAAACAGGAUUAGAUACCCCGGUAGUCC
rnacentral:rRNA from 1 species